rnacentral:rRNA from 1 species
GACAGAGGUGCCAAGCGUUAGGCGGAAUCACUGGGCUUAAAGCGUGUGUAGGCGGAAUUCUAAGUACCUUGUGAAAUCCCCGGGCUCAACCCGGGAACUGCGUCCGAUACUGGAAGGCUUGAAUCCGGGAGAGGGAUGCGGAAUUCCAGGUGUAGCGGUGAAAUGCGUAGAUAUCUGGAGGAACACCGGUGGCGAAGGCGGCAUCCUGGACCGGCAUUGACGCUGAGGCGCGAAAGCCAGGGGAGCAAACGGG